UGNGAAACCUAAGGGUGUCAUUAGGCCUUC
rnacentral:piRNA from 1 species